rnacentral:tRNA from 1 species
GCGGAUGUAGUUUAGUGGUAGAACACCAGCCUUCCAAGCUUGUAGUACGGGUCCGAUUCCCGUCAUCCGCU